rnacentral:tRNA from 1 species
CGGGCCGUGGCUCAGCUUGGUAGAGCGCUUGACUGGGGGUCAAGAGACCGGUGGUUCGAAUCCACUCGGCCCGACCA